UACAGGGGGGGCAAGCGUUGUUCGGAAUUACUGGGCGUAAAGGGCGCGUAGGCGGAUAGUUUAGUUGGGGGUGAAAGACCGGGGCUCAACCUCGGGACUGCAUUGGAUACUGGCAGACUUGAGUGUGGUAGAGGCAAUCGGAAUUCCUGGUGUAGCGGUGAAAUGCGCAGAUAUCAGGAGGAACACCGGUGGCGAAGGCGGGUCUCUGGGCAGUGAACUGACGCUGAGGAGCGAAAACGUGGGGAGCGAACAGG
rnacentral:rRNA from 1 species